ensembl:snRNA U6 U6 spliceosomal RNA
GUGCUCGCUUCAGCAUCACACAGACUAAAAUUGGAACGAUACAGAGAAGAUCAGCAUGGCCCCUGCACAAGGGUGACUCGCAAAUUCGUCAAGUGUUCCAUAUUUAA